rnacentral:rRNA from 1 species
GUGGGGAAUCUUGCGCAAUGGGCGAAAGCCUGACGCAGCCAUGCCGCGUGAAUGAUGAAGGUCUUAGGAUUGUAAAAUUCUUUCACCGGGGACGAUAAUGACGGUACCCGGAGAAGAAGCCCCGGCUAACUUCGUGCCAGCAGCCGCGGUAAUACGAAGGGGGCUAGCGUUGCUCGGAAUUACUGGGCGUAAAGGGAGCGUAGGCGGAUAGUUUAGUCAGAGGUGAAAGCCCAGGGCUCAACCUUGGAAUUGCCUUUGAUACUGGCUAGCUUGAGUAUGGAAGAGGUAUGUGGAACUCCGAGUGUAGAGGUGAAAUUCGUAGAUAUUCGGAAGAACACCAGUGGCGAAGGCGACAUACUGGUCCAUUACUGACGCUGAGGCUCGAAAGCGUGGGGAGCAAACAGGAUUAGAUACCCUGGUAGUCC